rnacentral:rRNA from 1 species
GGAUUAGAUACCCUGGUAGUCCACACUGUAAACGAUGAGUGCUAGGUAUUGGGCCAUUGGUUCAGUGCCGCAGCUAACGCGUUAAGCACUCCGCCUGGGGACUACGGUCGCAAGACUAAAACUCAAAGGAAUUGACGGGGGCCCGCACAAGCGGUGGAGCAUGUGGCUUAAUUCGAUGCUACGCGAAGAACCUUACCAACCCUUGAAAUGUUAGGUCGCGAAGUCUGUAAUGGACUUUUUCAGUUCGGCUGGACCUAUCACAGGUGUUGCAUGGCUGUCGUCAGCUCGUGCCG